GUAUUGGAGCCUUCAUCAGACCACACCCAGCAGUCAGAAAAGAGGUGCAGGGGCCCGGGCUGGGACAGUGAAGAGUGCUGGGCAGUCUGUGGUCCUCUCUACCUCAACUUUUUCAUCUUAAAAAAACAAAUAGGGUUGUGUGUGUGGCUGGUGGUCAUAAGGUCCUUUCUGGCUCUAAUAACCUGAGCUUCUGUUAUGAAGCUGGGACCCUUAGAGCCUCAGAAUGAUCCUCUGUUUGUGAAGCCCCCAUCAGGUGCUAAGCACCAUGGUGGCACUUAGCUGAAGCUCCUCUGUAACUCCUGUGGGCCCUGCCUUGCCCACCCCCUGCAGCUGCUGCAGUGCUCCUGAGCAGCACAGGCCUGAUGGAGCUUCUGGAGAAGAUGCUGGCACUCACCUUGGCAAAGGCAGAUUCUCCCAGGACUGCACUCCUCUGCUCUGCCUGGCUGCUCACUGCCUCCUUCUCUGCCCAGCAGCACAGUGGCAGUUUGCAGAAGGACCCUCUAUUGUCCCAGGCCUGUGUUGGCUGCCUGGAGGCCUUGCUUGACUACCUGGAUGCCCGGAGCCCAGACAUCGCUCUCCACGUGGCCUCCCAGCCUUGGAAUCGGUUUUUGCUGUUUACCCUCUUGGAUGCUGGAGAUAAUUCCUUCCUCAGACCUGAGAUUUUGAGGCUCAUGACCCUGUUUAUGCGGUACCGGAGUAGCAGUGUCCUCUCUCAUGAAGAGGUGGGUGAUGUUCUGCAAGGUGUGGCUUUGGCUGACCUGUCUACCCUCUCGAACACCACACUCCAGGCCCUGCAUGGCUUCUUCCAGCAGCUCCAGAGCAUGGGACACCUGGCUGACCACAGCAUGGCCCAGACCCUGCAGGCCUCCUUGGAGGGCCUUCCCCCUAGCACCUCCUCAGGCCAGCCACCCCUGCAGGACAUGCUCUGCCUGGGAGGGGUGGCUGUAUCCCUGUCCCACAUCAGAAACUGAUCCUCAGGACUUGAAGGCCCAGAAGUGGAGAGAGAAUGAGA
rnacentral:sRNA from 1 species